AAGAACGUGUGAUUUUGAAAUGAUAUUUUGCAAACGCAUCUACGUAACUGUCYCAAAAUCUCAGAAUUAAUAUCGACUACGAGAAUCAAAACUGGUCGCCAUCAUGAAAAAGAGUAUUAUUUUGGUGCUCCUUUUGGUGUCAUUGUUGAUGCUGAGUCAGUCUUCUGUUGAUGGCUUUCUUUUUCGCAGAAGAAGACGAAGACCAGCACCCACAACUGCAGCUAAAGCAAGCGCUGGUAGUCCGACCAAAAUGAAAUCGCUCUGGGAAGACAUUGCCGACUCGGUUCGCUAGGCUUUUGGCCGGCCCAUUCAAGACCACAGGGAUAUUACACCUUGAAGUAUUAGUUUAAAUCCAUGCCAAAUAAAAAGAUUGUUAAAUCUCAAAACCUGUAAAGUCUUAAUUCCAAUAAAAUCCCAGUGAUA